rnacentral:snoRNA from 1 species
UGGAGAUGAUGAAUAAAUCUUUUGGUCCGUGUUUCUGAAUAAACAGUGACUGAUAAACCACACCAACCUCUGAUCUU